rnacentral:lncRNA from 10 species
CUACAAAGCAGGUGACAGCCUGGAUUCAGAUUCCAGUUUGAAACUAAAGACUCCCUCCAGUCUCCCCUAGAACAUUCUCUGAUUUGAACCACCCACUCCUUCUAAAAAGUCUGCCUCCCCAAGAGACUCACAGCAGCUUGCCCUGGACAAGACCAAAAAAGACAAUGGAUGUGGUCCGCCUUGGGAGUCCCCAAGGGCUGUGCAACAAAGUCAAGUCACCGUCCACCCUUCAGCUCUGAGCUAGAAUCUCAGCAGACACAUCUGGGCCAGGUGCUGAGAACUCGCUGUGGAGCAAGGAAUGCUUGGUCCGGUGGAGGAAGGAGGUGGCCAUUUGAACUGAUGCAGGGCUAACUCUUCUUUGACUCUUUAUUCUUCACACUAGCAAGGCCUGGCACAGAGAAGACUCUAAAUAAAUGGUGGUGGAGUAAAAGGAGGACAUAAUGAUUGGGAUGUGUUGCAGGACAUCCAGAAAGCAACUAGGAACAGAGGGCUGGAGUUCAGGAGAGGUGACCGCAGAGGGAUAUUUUUGGAAUUCUGCCCUGCUCAUCUGUAAGUUCAUGUGAGUUGCAUUAAACCUGAUGUGGAGAGUGCGUGGGGGUCUCGGAGCCUAAAGGAAAUAUGAAGAAAAUGAGCAAGCUCCCAUCCGCAUUGCCUCUGCACUCCCAGCACUGCUUUUGCAUGAAUAGGGGACAGACACAUCCCUGGCACAGGGAGGCUGUUCCCACUUAGAGCACAUCUGUUGAAGGAAUGAGGACACCAAGUCUGCCUGCACCCUAAGGCCAAACAUCAGCUGGGCAUCCAACACUUACACUACCAAAAGCUGCUGUCCAAGGAAGCAAGAGAGACUGGGGAAAAGCGCAGCUGCCUGCAUGCAGUGUCCCAGCAGCAAAUCAUGUCUGCAGGCUCUAGACCCACCAAUGAUUUUUCUUCUCUUCCUAAUUCAAUGCAAGGUUUCAGCUCCAUCUGAGUGCCUGUGGCACUGAGAAAAUUAAAGGUAGACUUAAUUGAUCCCAAAUGAUCUUGGCUCACUGCAACCUCUGCCUCCCGGGUUCAAGUGAUUCUCCUGUCUCAGCCUCUCAAGUAGAUCUUCAUGCAAAGCGACAUUGAAAAUGGAAAGACCCUAUUCUGGGCAUCAUUUCUGCUGGUCCUAAAAAAGGGUUAUCCAAAUCCCCACUCAAGAGCUCCCCUUAUGGCUCCCUGGUGGAAGCCAGCCCAGGUGAGGGCUCCUUCACUCUCCCACAACUCUAAAAUGCAGUGUAUAAGUUCUUGUGGACAAAUUGCCAUUAGGAACAGCUUCCAGCUGUCAGAAAACACUUGCAAGUAAACAACCCCAUCCCAGUCAAACUGUAUGACUUAGCUUUGGAGGUUUCUGAACUUCUGAGCCCUUUUGCCAUCCCAGCCCCACCCCUAUAGUGCC